rnacentral:lncRNA from 1 species
UGCAACACUGCCUGCAGGUGCAUGCUCACACACCCUUUUCCAAGUCUUUUCCAUCCGUGUUUCAUCUCUUCCCUCUUGCAAAGAGACGGAGGAGAAGAGACCAGGAGAAGAGACAGGAGCAGGGGACCCUGCUCAGUAGGGUUUCAAUGGGAGGGCCACGUUGGUGGGACACCAAAGGCCACCUCCUCUGAGGUGACCCCCAUUCACUGCACCCAUGGGAAGCAGAGGAAUAAGAGGGGAGAGUGUGUCUCUAAUGGGCAAAUGGGCUUGGAGGACGAAAAAAGACCAGAGGACGCCCAUUGGGAACUUUUGGUGUCCCCAAACCAUUUCUGCUUUUACGGAUAGGUGAGGAUGCAUGCCCCAAAAACCCAGCGAGCUCCCCAUCCACGAGACAGGGCCAGCUUUUGUCCCGUGCCCAGCCUGGGGGCACAGCACUGGUAUUGUCCCGGGACCGCCUGGGAAAAUGGGAGGGGUUCCCCAUGAAACCUUUCCAUAGAGCAAAACAGCGUCAGAGCUGGGUCUGGGGGGGGGGGACGGGACUGGGGCAGACACCAGAAAAAAAACACACACACAACGGGCAAACAAUACCGGCAGUGUGCUGAGGGAAAGGGAGACCCAUGAAUUGGGAGUUUGAUAAGGAUUUUCUCCCGCGCGCGCCCGCUCUCUCAACAGCCCCUUCAGUUUUCCCGGCACCCCCCUCCUUCCCUUUGCCUGCUCGCUUGUUUGGGCCUCAAACAGUGCGCUGCCUUUGUUCGGGGAUACAGGUGAACGGCCAUCAUGUGAUGCACGCACACGCGGGCGCGCACAUAAAAAGCUUUUUCAGAGCGCCCGGCUCGCCUCAGACCCGAAGACGGGAGAGGAGACCCGGGCCGGGAGCAGCGGGGACGGCGGCGCUGCUCCAUCCCGCUGCAGCACACCCCGUCCCGCCGAGGUCGCCUGAGUGUGAUACUCAAGGGAAAGGCAGCGAGGAGCAAAGGGAGAGGCCAACAUUUCAUCAUGACACUCAGAAAAUCGAUGGGUCUGCGGAUGGCCUCACUCGUGAGACAUCAUGGGACUUGAUUUAUGGAGGCUGUGUGAGAUCAGGACCAGGCCUGAUGCUUGCCAGGGCACCCAAGGCCAACCCCGUCUCCUCUGCUUCCUCACGCCUUUCUCUCCGAAAUCCUCCCCAGUCUGAUAUCAGCGGGCUCCCAGCAUUCGGGGCAUUUUCAAGGACUUUCCAUGAACAGGAGAAGCGGAGAGGCCCCAAAGCCCACGCUCCCUGGUGCUGUGGCGGCCCUGAUCUCCUGUUGCAGGGGACAAAGAAGCGUGAAAGCCACCCCAAAUUUGAUCAGCCACCUUUGUCGGCAUGACCAGAGCCCUUCAACUCGUAAAUGUCCUUGCAAUGGGGAGCCAGGCACUGGGAACCGCAGCCAGGCUCUGGCCUUCAUCACCCCUCAUCAGGAUUACGGUGGAUUACGGUGCCAGCUGCUUUGGAGAGGAGGUGCAGGAACCCUCCUGGAAAGCAGAGGGGUCCAACACCUCUGAGCAACCACAAAGACCCCGGAUCAGCUCCCGACUCAUCGUCUUGGACAGCCCAAGGCUCCCCAAGCACACGGGAAGGACUUCCAGUGCCACACAAGUCCUCCCCAAAGUCCCUGGGACAAUUUAGCAGGGUCUGGGAAGAUCAAAGAAGAGUGAGGCAGGGCAGGUCCGUCUGCUACCUGCUUUGAUGGGUGGCAAGAGCCUCCCUGGCUGUUAACCCCCUCGACUCCUGCUGGAGAGGCCAGGUGUGAUCCCAAAAUGUGACUCCCCCAAAAGCAAGCACUGAAGGGGAAAGGAGCUUUUGCAUUUUCUCAAGGGGAGUCUCCAACAUCCAGCGCGAUACGGUGCAGGGAGCCAGGUGCUCUCGGGCUGCGUGGCCAAGGAGGGAUGCCUGGAGGGAGGAGAAAGGAAUUGUGUACAUUUGGGCUGAAUGAUGAGACAAGGGGAUCCUCCCAAGGGGUCGUAGCAGUGUUGGGUGACUCAGGUGGGCUCGUUCAGCAGGGACCAAGGUGGCUCCGGGGGGAUCUUCAGCUCCAGCAGCCCGCUGGCAGCAGGGAGGCUCCCGGGGAGCCAGGGGAAGGGUUAAGUCGGGAAGGCUUCAGCCCGCUGCCUUGGCCCCUGUAAUUCCUCCAGAGAGUAGGACUGGGAGAACAAGGAGCCCAUUCUGUUCGCAGGAAUUAAUAGCAAGGAGUCAUCUGGGGUGUCAUUCAAGCCCUGAUCAGCUCCCGGAGGAAUGUGAGGGAGAGCGAGCGAGGGAGCACGGCCCCAGGCCGAGGCACCAAAGCCAGGGCAGGAGCGCUUGUGCUGGUAACCAGAGCUACCAGCCGGAAUUCGGGACCCCAGCCUCCGCAUCCCCUCUGCCCUGCGCCCCCCUUCUCAAAGGGCCAGCUCCUAAUCUGGGGGCUCAUUUCCAGACCCUUUGUCCCUUGUUCCCCGUUCGUUUCAUGGCGGGGGAAGAUGUCCCAACCCAUCACCGCCACCACCUCCCUUCCACCAAGCUGCCAGGGCCAUCAGGAAAUGCUCAGAUUUGUCCUCCCCAGCAAGCUUGCCCGUGGAGAGGGUCUCCAAGGAGCCCAUAAGUGCAUCUGGGGAUGAGGGGUAGCUCGGGGGACUGCAGAGUUCAGUGCUGAGCCCUUUGCCACCACAUCAGCUCUCCCCAAGUGACGGUGAUCACCACAGUUUCUGCAACAAAAGACCAGGCCAGAAAAUGAGCACAUCUGUAUUUCACCACAUUGCACCAUGGCCGUGCUGGUGACACCACAAUGCUGCCUGUGAUGGCAACCAGCAAAAAAGAUUUCGGCCACAUCUCUACUGGCCUGAGAAGGGGACCUCAGAGUGGUCCAUCUCUGCCUGGUUGCAUUGCAGGUGUCCUGCAUGUUCACAGCCUGGUGGCACAAGGUGUCCCAGGGCUAUGGAGAUGCACCUGGAUUAUCUCUGCAGGGCCACUAUAUGGCCAACGGGGUCUUCAGGGCAACCCUUCAGGCCAGCCCUAGGUGUGUGCAUGGCCGCAAGGCUGACUGUGAGCUCAGCUCACCAGCAAGGCUAGGUAGGUGGCAACCCAUAUGAAAUGUGAGCAGAGCCCUGCUGGAAUGCACGAGUUGCUUUUGCUGGCCCACAGUUUUGCAGCCAAAGUGCCUCUCACCAAAGCUUUUCCUCCUCCCCAUGCACACCGGCUUGGUGUGAAAAUGGUUUUAAGCGCUAGCUCUGCAUCUCAGCAUCCUGCAAGAGAUGCACGGUGCCUCCAGGACGGACUCCUCCGCCCCCUCCCCAUCCCCAUCCCCAUCCCACCACCACCACCACCACAAUGAGCACCCCUUGUUGUAGAGGGGUUAAUAAAUGAUGCAAGAAAGGAGCCCUUUAAUGCACAGUGACCUCUGGCCUUUCAUAAAUCACAGUGUUGGGCUGUGAGUGCGCGGGGGGCGCGAGGCGGUGGGGGGGGAGAUGAUGGGAGGGGGUCCAUGCAGCUGCGCCACGGAGUUGACAUUGUUCCCACCAUCACUAAAGUGCAACAAAUCCCUCUAUUGUGUUCCUGGUUUAUCUGGUUCCUCUUGUUUAUUAGCAGAGGUUGUUUGGCGCUGGCUCCAGCCCUGGGCGGGUGGAAAGAGUGUUGGCACGCACCAGAGGAGGGGAGGGAGGGAGUGGGGGGGACCGGGACGGGAGGACGAGAGCAGCUCAUCAAUGGCUGUAUUGUCCCAUCUUUUUUGUUGCUCCUGUAAUGAUAUGUUCGAAAAAGGAGAUUAAAUACAAAAAAAAAAAAAAAAAAAAGAGAGAGAGAGCAAGAGAGAGAGAGGCAGGGGGAGAUGAGAGAGGGAGAGAAAGACAAACUGCACUGAAGGACAGGGUAGGAAUGGUGGGGCUGGGCUCGCAGCGGAUGCUCCCGCAGCUGGGGAGGAUGAGUCGGGAUGGAGCCGCGAUGGGGCCGCUCCGUGCCUUUAUGCUGCUUAUUCAGGUCAGGAGCCAUCAGCCCCAGUGCCUGGGGCUGCGCCCACCCGUGCCAACUCUAUUCAUGGCCAGCAGGGAGGAUGGGGUGCUGGGGACGAGGGGCUGGGGGCAGCA